rnacentral:rRNA from 1 species
GACGAACGCUGGCGGCGUGCUUAACACAUGCAAGUCGAACGGAAAGGCCCUGCUUUUGUGGGGUGCUCGAGUGGCGAACGGGCGAGUAACACGUGAGUAACCUGCCCUUGACUUUGGGAUAACUUCAGGAAACUGGGGCUAAUACAGGAUAGGAGCUCCUGAUGCAUGGUGGGGGUUGGAAAGAUUCGGCGGUUUGGGAUGGACUCGCGGCUUAUGAGCUUGUUGGGGGGGUAGUGGCUUGCCAAGGCUUUGACGGGUAGCCGGCCUGAGAGGGUGACCGGCCUCAUUGGGCCUGAGAUACGGCCCAGACUCCUACGGGAGGCAGCAGUGGGGAAUAUUGCACAAUGGGCGGAAGCCUGAUGCAGCAACGCCGCGUGCGGGAUGACGGCCUUCGGGUUGUAAACCGCUUUCGCCUGUGACGAAGCGUUAGUGACGGUAAUGGGUAAAGAAGCACCGGCUAACUACGUG